AAACAUCCUUACACGUAGUAAUCAUUUCUGGGUUUUUAAAGGCAGAACACUAGUUACUUUUCUUGUUGCUGUUACCAAAUCAAGCAAAAGAGCAAGCUGAGGGAAGAGGGGCUAAUUAGGCUCAUGGCUGGAAUGUUUUCUAUCAGAUAAGGAGUUACAGGCUAAGUAGCUCUUGGCUGUGGAUGCUGGCUGGAGUGAGAGACUGCUCACUUCUAUGAGGAAGACCAGGAAGCAGAUAAAAGGUUGUUGAUGCCAUCCAGGUUUCCUCCUCUUUCUUUUUUCUUUAGCUAGGAGCUAAAAAGAGAUGGCACCACUCUCACAUAAGGGUACCCUUUGGAGUUCUCUGCAAGUUCUCUCUGCCCAUGCAAGGAUGAGGUACGAGCAAGCCACCUAAGUGCAAACUCAGACUGCCUUUUCUUCUUCCUGUGUUGCUGAAGACAUUCCAGGUUUUACGGCCGUUACUGCUUUUCGUAAUAUCGAUUACCCAUGAAGUGCAUCCUGAAGAAUUCGGGUAAACACGCCAUUUGGUGUUUGUGAACAGUGCUGCUCAGAUCCAGCUUAGUGCCAGUCACUUGUGCACCAGCCCAGCUUGGUUUUGCCAGUGGUCCGCAUU